GCGCAGGGCUGGGCGGCUGCCCCCGCGGCGGACGCGGGCCACGCCCUCUUGGACGCGAGCACACACCCCCCAUUUCCCCGGGCCCAAGGAGACACGCCUGGCCCUGCAGACAAACAGGAGGCAGAUUUGUACGACUUCUGGAGGCGGCCUGCAAUCCUUGGCUUGUGGUUUCCUGCUCCGGCCUCAAAGCCAGAAGGCUAGCAUCCUCAAGUCUCUCUCUGGCUCUCUCUUCUCUGCACUCCUGCAAUUACACUGGAUGCACAGAUAGCACAAGCUAACCUCCCUCCUCCAAGGUCAGUGGAGCAACCCUAAGUCCAUGUGGAAAGCUGAUUGUCCCGUACCACGUAGCCUGUCCUGUACCAUGCAGACACCCGGUGAGGGUCUGUGGACGUUUAGGAGGACUCUUGCGCCUACCACAGCUGGGAGCAUUUAUGCCUUGUGAGUCACGAUGGGAAUUAAACAGAAGUCAAAUGGACCCCACAGGCCCCAUCAUGCUAACGCUACGGGGUAAAGAUGAAGGUGGACAGGAGUGUGCGUGCAUGCUACUCCUUUGGCGUGUGUCGGGGGAACAUCCAUCACUGGCCCUGGCUUCCUGCCUGGUGCCCGGAGGCUGUCAGUACAAACAGGGACACUCAGCGUGCAGACACCCGCUACCACACUAAGCUCUGUAGUAGGUUCUGGAGACUCGAACUGAAAACACCAUGAUUGCACAGCAAACACUUUACCCACUAAGUCAUCUCUCCAGCCUGUAAAGAGUACUCAGUAAAGUGUUUUUACAUCGUCCUUAUUGGAAGGCGUCAUGUUUCUUUUACCGAGAAGUCCUUACUGAAAUGGUAUCCUUGAAAUAAAGAUCCAAAGACGGUGA